GACGAACGCUGGCGGCGUGCCUAAUACAUGCAAGUUGAGCGCUGAAGGUUGGUACUUGUACCAACUGGAUGAGCAGCGAACGGGUGAGUAACGCGUGGGGAAUCUGCCUUUGAGCGGGGGACAACAUUUGGAAACGAAUGCUAAUACCGCAUAAAAACUUUAAACACAAGUUUUAAGUUUGAAAGAUGCAAUUGCAUCACUCAAAGAUGAUCCCGCGUUGUAUUAGCUAGUUGGUGAGGUAAAGGCUCACCAAGGCGAUGAUACAUAGCCGACCUGAGAGGGUGGUCGGCCACAAUGGGACUGAGACAAGGCCCAAACUCCUACGGGAGGCAGCAGUAGGGAAUCUUCGGCAAUAGACGAAAGUCUGACCGGGCAACGCCGCGUGAGUGAAGAAGGUUUUCGGAUCGUAAAACUCUGUUGGUAGAGAAGAACGUUGGUGAGAGUGGAAAGCUCAUCAAGUGACGGUAACUACCCAGAAAGGGACGGCUAACUACGUG
rnacentral:rRNA from 1 species